rnacentral:rRNA from 1 species
CCUACGGGAGGCAGCAGUGAGGAAUAUUGGUCAAUGGGCGCGAGCCUGAACCAGCCAAGUAGCGUGAAGGAUGACUGCCCUACGGGUUGUAAACUUCUUUUAUAAAGGAAUAAAGUGAGGCACGUGUGCCUUUUUGUAUGUACUUUAUGAAUAAGGAUCGGCUAACUCCGUGCCAGCAGCCGCGGUAAUACGGAGGAUCCGAGCGUUAUCCGGUUUUAUUGGGUUUAAAGGGAGCGUAGAUGGGUUGUUAAGUCAGUUGUGAAAGUGUGCGGCUCAACCGUAAAAUUGCAAUUGAUACUGGCAGCCUUGAGUACAGUUGAGGUAGGCGGAAUUCGUGGUGUAGCGGUGAAAGGCUUAGAUAUCACGAAGAACUCCGAUUGCGAAGGCAGCCUACUGGACUGCCACUGACACUGAGGCUCGAAAGUGUGGGUAUCAAUCAGGAUUAGAUACCCUUGUAGUC